rfam:Fukomys damarensis contig86888, whole genome shotgun sequence.
AUCGCUUCUCGGCCUUUUGGCUAAGAUCAAGUGUAAAAUUGUUCUACAUAUACAUUUUUUGUAUUGUUGAUAUAAUUUUAUGAAUAUACUGUUAUUGACUUAUCUAUCAAGCAAAUUUAUUCUUAGACAGCAGCAAAGUACCAGUGAUAAAUACAUGGAGAAGAAGAAAACUAUAUCUUCUUACAUCUGUUCUUAU